ensembl:lncRNA
GGACGGGACCGUUUGAGUACGACAGAGAAAAGAUGGCAGCGUGGAGAGCGGCGUGCUGGAGAAGAUGUACGAAGUACGGGACGGGAGCUCCACACCGAACUCUGGGUCACAUUUAUGCAUGAAAAUCUGCGAGAGUCGACGGCGGCGUCCUGUUUCUCGCACAUACACCGAAGCCGAGCCCAGUCCUGGUUUGAUUCUUUGAUGACGCAACAGCUCGGUGCAAAUGGAGAACCUGAAGAUCCUUUCAGACGACUUGACUACCGAAAGCUAAAAUGAGUUGUUUUUGAAAGCGAUUCCUCCGGAGCACGGCGCUUCAUGUCCUCGUGUUACUCAAGAGAGUCCCGCAAACUGCUGCCUCGCUCCUUUUUCCUCUUCAGCCGUAUAAAUAAAGACGCUCUGCCUGGUCCUCGCCAAGCUGUUCAGUUGGUUUUGUCAGGCUUCUUGGAUGUGAGCGUCUUGGUUUCAAAUAUCACAGCAUGGAGACCCCCCCCAAACCCCCCAAACCCCCCUCUCUUUCCCUAGCCGACUCUGUUUCUCUCUUAACUCUUUGGAUACAUUCCCCCUUGAUUAUAAAUAGAUUAUAAUUAGCUCCUCCAGCCAUGGGCAAUAUAAUUGUUCAUCAAGUAGAGAACUGCACUCAGAGGCCUUGAUACAUUAAAGCUCGUGCAAAAGUCAGAAGAAUAG